GUUCUCACUUUUACAGCACAUGUACUAAAAAUGGAAUGAUAGAGAGAAAGUUAGUAUGUCCUCUGCAAAGGGAAUCACACUAAUUUGUGAAGUAUUCCUUAAAUUU